rnacentral:rRNA from 1 species
UACGUAGGGGGCUAGCGUUGUCCGGAAUCAUUGGGCGUAAAGAGCGCGUAGGCGGCCAGAUAAGUCCGGUGUGAAAGUCACAGGCUCAACCUGUGAAUGCCGCUGGAAACUGUCUGGCUAGAGUCCGGAAGGGGCGAGUGGAAUUCCUGGUGUAGCGGUGAAAUGCGCAGAUAUCAGGAGGAACACCAAUGGCGAAGGCAGCUCGCUGGAACGGUACUGACGCUGUGGCGCGGAAAGCGUGGGGAGCAAACAGG